rnacentral:rRNA from 1 species
UACAGAGGGUGCAAGCGUUAAUCGGAUUUACUGGGCGUAAAGCGUGCGUAGGCGGUUCAUUAAGUCGGUUGUGAAAUCCCUGGGCUUAACCUGGGAACUGCAGUCGAUACUGAUGGACUAGAGUACGGUAGAGGGUGGCGGAACUCCGGGUGUAGCGGUGAAAUGCGUAGAUAUCCGGAAGAACACCGAUGGCGAAGGCAACCACCUGGGCCUGUACUGACGCUGAGGUACGAAAGCGUGGGGGAGCAAACAGG